CCUACGGGAGGCAGCAGUGAGGAAUAUUGGUCAAUGGGCGCGAGCCUGAACCAGCCAAGUAGCGUGAAGGAUGACUGCCCUACGGGUUGUAAACUUCUUUUAUAAAGGAAUUAAGUGAGGCACGUGUGCCUUAUUGUCUGUACUUUAUGAAUAAGGCUCGGCUAACUCCGUGCCAGCAGCCGCGGUAAUACGGAGGAUCCGAGCGUUAUCCGGAUUUAUUGGGUUUAAAGGGUGCGUAGAUGGGUUGUUAAGUCAGUUGUGAAAGUUUGCGGCUCAACCGUAACAGUGCAAUUGAUACUGGCAGCCUUGAGUACAGUUGAGGUAGGCGGAAUUCGUGGUGUAGCGGUGAAAUGCUUAGAUAUCACGAAGAACUCCGAUUGCGAAGGCAGCCUACUAAACUGCCACUGACAUUGAUGCUCGAAAGUGUGGGGAGCAAACAGGAUUAGAUACCCUUGUAGUC
rnacentral:rRNA from 1 species